AGAGAUUGCUACAGUGAGUUCCAAUGUAGUUGGUGUGAGUUUACAUUUAGAGGAGGAAUUAUUCCAGAACCUUGCUGUAGAAUUAAGGGAGAAUGCUCUUUUGGAAAGACUAAAGAAUCAAACUCGGAUAUUUGUGAUGCUUCACAUAAUGACGUUCAACUUAUGAAGCAGAAGGACCAAGUACCGGUGCAAUAGUAGGAGGAACAAUAGGUGGACUAUUAGCUGUUAUUCUCAUAGUUGGUGGAGUCAUUUUUCUUUUGAGAUACUUACACAAAAACGAUAAUUGUGAUAAAGAAGACCCGUACUUAGAUGCUAUACCUGACCAUCUUGACUUACAAAAUGCACAAAAUUACGGGUUUGAAUCUAAUGGUCACUUUAAUCCGCCAUCCACAACCAGUAACUUUUCUUCUGGAAGUCUUUCAAAUGGAGGAGGAAAAAGACAUAGUUCCAUUUCAGUGGUAAGUGACGAAUCACGGUAUGAUAAACCUACUGAAUAACAUACAACGAAGAGAAGGAUAAGAUACUGGAAUGUUAAAUCGUGGAUUCUGAAGGCCUUAUUACAGGGUGUUUGUAUCUCUGCUCAGGAUAAAUUGUCGGAUAAAAGCUGUACAGAGCUUAUGUUGCAUUGUUAUAUGUAUAACCGACUUUAAAUAAAUCUGUUAUGCUUAUUAUGGAUAACAAACAGGUAUCAGCUGUUUGAGAUAAAUUUUGUGAAACUUAAAUACAUCAUGGAUAUUAAAAGUUAAACAGACCUAAGAAAGACAUACAUUUGUACUUGUAUGGUAUAGUGCUGAUUGUUUUCCAUACUUUAAGAAUUCAGAUCAGGAAACAAUUACAUGGACUGAAUAUUAACACCCAUAAGUGUUGCUUCAGGUAAAUGUAAUGGAUGUUGUGCAAUAUGUCAAUACCGUAGUAAACAUUGUAUCACUUUUAUACGAAUCAAUAUAUAUUUUGUCAAUCAUUAAGUGUUCAAUUUCACAACACUUGUAAUUGUAAUGUACACUACAGCUCAGGUGGAUUUUGCUUUGUCCACCCGUCCACAGGUGGAGUGGGCACCGGUUGGGCAAAAUUUCUAGCUUGUCCACUCUGCCCACCCAUAGGAGUGGGCAUGCAAUUUCUUUUGUUUAAGCAAAAGAUUUGCAAGUACAAUCAAUUAAAAAAAAACAGAUAAGCAAUUAUAAUCAAUGUUUUUACAAAAAAAAGAGAUUAUAGCUGGAGUGGGCACGGGUGGGCUGUCCACGGUGAGCCGGUGGAAAAAGCAAAAUCCACCCGGGCUGUUGUGUAUAUGUUAUGAAUGUAGAAGUACAUUUGUCAUACUUUUCAGUGUAUUCGAUACUAAUAUGUAUAUACCUCAGGAAUGCAUGUGAAGAUUACCUUAGCUGUAUUUUAUUUGGAAUUUUAGUCCUCAAUGCUAUUCAACUUCGUACUUUAUUUGGCCUUUUUAAAUUUUUGGAUUCGUUACUGAUGAGUCUUUUGUAGACGAGACGCGCGUCGGCGUAAUUAAAAAUUUAAUCCUGGUAUCUAUGAUGAGUUUAUUUAGUAUGUAUAAAUUUUAAAGUAAAUUUGCUUAUACUAAGAGCUAAUUUAACAUUAAAGUUUUAGUUUGAAACAGAUAAUUGUUUUUUCUAACGACUUAUGAGUUUUGAACAGUGGUAUACUACUGUUGCCUUUGUGUAAUAUUCCAUUAUACGAUAAUCAUGUAUUCAUCGUCUGUUAAAUAUCAUUUGAAGGAAUGACUGCGAUGCUUGUUCUGUCUAUGAAGAAAUAACAUCUUAAAUGGGUUGCACACUGAAUAACUCGCGUCAUUUCUUAUAAUUUAAGUCUAAGCCGCGGUAAAUCAUGAAAUACGUUGUUUACGUCACUGUCACAUGAUAAAAUUAUGUUUAUAAGUUGAAAAACACUGUCAGCAAAUCAGAAGACGCGUUUCAUUCAAAAUUUUAUUAGUAUUGGUUGUCAUAAAUGUUGUUACAAGAGGUAUAUUUCACGAUAAGACAAUAUCUCCAUUAGAAAAAAAACGAGGAUGUAAGCAAAUGCAUGCCAAUGAACAGCCUCCAUAAUGAGCAAACAUAAUACUAUAUGGUAUACAUGUAUGUAUAAUGCCCUACAACAAAAAUAUAUUUACCUACAUGUAUUUGUCUGACAAAUUUUUAGGAUUGUUUGCACUCAACGCUUUUCAAUUUCGUACUUUAUUAUUCUUUGUUAAAUUUUGUUUUAUUCGAGCGUCACUGAUGUUUUUUUCAGACGAAACGCGCGUAUGGCGCAAAUACAAAAUUUCAAUCCUGGUUUCUAUGAUGAGUUUAUUUGAAUUGCAUAUAGCAAUACGUGAAAUAAUUCAAAAGUAAUAACAUAUAUCAUGUAUAAUAUUGUUAGUUUGAAUAAAGUAAUAUAAAUAAACGAAAAGCAAAUAUUACAGACGAACACUAGCUUAGAUCCAUUACAUUUUUUUUCAUAAAUCAGCAAAUAAAAUAUGUUAUACUUACUGAUAUACUAUGUAUAUGGAAUUCAUGACAUUUCAAUAUAUGUUUAUUUUUUCAAUUUUACAUUUGCCAUUUUUGUAUUGAAUUUUAUGCAUGUAUAUUCUAACGUUGUUUUUCUUUUAGAGACAAUAAACUGUUUUUGAUUA